GGAGAUAUCUGAUGAUGGGAUCAAGUCAGUAGAAUCAAGUCUGCAAAAUGGAAGAAUUUCUCAUCUAAGGGACAAGGGACUUUUUUCACCAGUCAAGUUGGAAUUCACAUAUCUGGAUUCCUAUUAUCAUGGCAUGGUUUCUUCCACAAUUCUGUCUGCAGCCAGUGGUCAGUCACUGUGCACCAGAGAUGCUGCUGGACUUGCUAAAUUUCUCCAAUACUCCCAGUGUUCGUUAUAGCAUUCGCAAGGCUCUACCUGAUGGUGUUCUACCCGUUAGAACUGA